rnacentral:lncRNA from 1 species
CCUUUUCUUAAACUGACCUCACCAUAGAAAGACAUGAAUCUUGGGACACAGCUUCAGAAAAAUCUUUGCGAGCUUCUGCUGCUGCUUCCUCCUGAAUGGAUACACAGGCACACAGUUAACCGGCCAAGACAGGGAUUCAAAGCGAUCCCUCAGGGUCGUGCUUCCCAGCCGUUUAUGGGUCUCCGUGAGCACAACGGUUCUCACACUCACGAGUUUCUCUAAAGAGGCUGAUGGCAAGUGUUCUCGGAACCCAUCCUGAUGACAUAGGUUUCAGUCCACCCCAGCUCUGCAGAAUGCACGUCUCGAGGGAGAAGUCUGGGAAUCUGCGUUCCUACACUGUUCGCCACUCCGUUUACAGUCAGGCUUG